rnacentral:RNase_P_RNA from 1 species
AAAGCGGGCUGGGCAGUCGCCGGUCUUUUGAUCGGAGGAAAGUCCGGGCACCGUAGAGCAGGAUGCCAGCUAACCGCUGGGCGCCGUAAGGCGACGGAAAGUGCCACAGAGAGCAGACCGCCGAUGGCCCUUUGGGCACAGGCAAGGGUGAAAGGGUGCGGUAAGAGCGCACCGCCCGACUGGUAACAGUCGG